CCUACGGGUGGCAGCAGUGAGGAAUAUUGGUCAAUGGCCGAGAGGCUGAACCAGCCAAGUCGCGUGAGGGAAGACGGCCCUACGGGUUGUAAACCUCUUUUGUCGGGGAGCAAAGCGAGUCACGUGUGACUCAUUGAGAGUACCCGAAGAAAAAGCAUCGGCUAACUCCGUGCCAGCAGCCGCGGUAAUACGGAGGAUGCGAGCGUUAUCCGGAUUUAUUGGGUUUAAAGGGUGCGUAGGCGGCGCUUCAGGUCAGCGGUGAAAUACCGGGGCUCAACCCCGGGGCUGCCGUUGAAACCGGAGCGCUAGAAUUCCGAUGCCGUCGGAGGAAUGUGUGGUGUAGCGGUGAAAUGCAUAGAUAUCACACAGAACACCGAUUGCGAAGGCAUCUGACGAAUCGGAGAUUGACGCUGAUGCACGAAAGCGUGGGUAUCGAACAGGAUUAGAUACCCGGGUAGUC
rnacentral:rRNA from 1 species